GCGAGCUAUCUUCUCGACUGUUCACUUGACAGCUGGACACUGUAAGAAGAGGACGCAGGAUAGGUGUGGUGGAGUUUCGAUCCCAAUUUGUAUGUUGUACCCAAGUUUGAAGCAAAGAGGUCUUGUGAUUUAAUGUAUUUACGUCUUAUAGCAUACAAAUGUACGUGGAAUUCGAUAAUGCGAUUUAUCUUCUCUGUCGACAUCUGUCAAAAGCACUUACGCCCGACGGAAGCUUUCCUGGUCUUCUGGUGGUAUUUUGGAACCGGACACAGACACUCGCUCGCAAGGAAAAUGCAGUGUGACGAAAUAGUACAUGGUCUUACGAUUUUCGAACCAUUUAAAGCCGGCAUAUUAAACUUUUGUUUACUAAGAUGGACUUUAUUCCAUUUUCCAAACUAUACUGAGAAAAAAAAAUCAGUUUUGUUUUCAAAUGUAUAUCCUAGGGAUCGAUCAUGAUCCUUAUCAAACUAUACGGUACCAACUCGGUUGUAUCUUAUUUCAUUCGAAAAUCAUUAAGCUCCUCCCCAGUUAUAUUUGAUUGAGCAAUAAAGUGAUCAUUAACGUGUUUUUGAUGCAAUAGUGUAUUUUCCAAUGUGUUCGCAUGUCACAACUUUAAAUCUUGAAUGUAAAAAUGCAAGUUGAGAUUUAAGUUUAUUAAGCAGAUUAGCUAACUGUAUCGUUUGCUGUAAAGUGUACACUGUAAAAGUCGAUUUUAUUUUCAUCAUUUUAAAGUUUUAUGAACACUAGUGAAUGACGAGCAAUUUAUGAAAAUAAAGGCACUGCUUUGGGUUGUUUUUGAUUUAAUCUCUAAGAUAAAGAAAUAAAGGCAACAUUGAUCUUAACUGAAUUUUCUGAACCUAAAAUCUGUUCAUUUUGAAUAUUUUGGCUUAUAAAAA